rnacentral:rRNA from 1 species
GACGAACGCUGGCGGCGUGCCUAAUACAUGCAAGUAGAACGCAGUUGCGAACGGGUGAGUAACGCGUAGGUAACUGCCUCAUAGCGGGGGAUAACUAUUGGAAACGAUAGCUAAUACCGCAUUCUGGGAGAUGGACCUGCGUUGUAUUAGCUAGUUGGUGAGGUUAAGGCUCACCAAGGCGACGAUACAUAGCCGACUUGAGAGGGUGAACGGCCAAACUGGGUAUGGGACAAGGCCCAGACUCCUACGGGAGGCAGCCGGAGGGAAUCUUCGGAAAUGGACGGAAGUCUUACCGAGCAAAGCCGCGUGAGUGAAGAAGGUUUUCGGAUCGUAAAGCUAUGUUGUUAGAGAAGCGGUAACUAAACAGAAAGGGACGGCUAACUACGUGCCAGCAGCCGCGGUAAUUC